rnacentral:rRNA from 1 species
AUCCCCUGACAACCCGAGAGAUCGGGCGUUCCCCUUCGGGGGGACAGGGUGACAGGUGGUGCAUGGUUGUCGUCAGCUCGUGUCGUGAGAUGUUGGGUUAAGUCCCGCAACGAGCGCAACCCUCGACCUUAGUUGCCAGCAUUCAGUUGGGCACUCUAAGGUGACUGCCGGCUAAAAGUCGGAGGAAGGUGGGGAUGACGUCAAAUCAUCAUGCCCCUUAUGACCUGGGCUACACACGUGCUACAAUGGGCGGUACAAAGGGUCGCGAACCCGCGAGGGGGAGCCAAUCCCAAAAAGCCGCUCUCAGUUCGGAUUGCAGGCUGCAACUCGCCUGCAUGAAGCCGGAAUCGCUAGUAAUCGCGGAUCAGCAUGCCGCGGUGAAUACGUUCCCGGGCCUU